rnacentral:rRNA from 1 species
GAAACUCAAAUGAAUUGACGGGGCCCGCACAAGCGGAGGAACAUGUGGUUUAAUUCGAUGAUACGCGAGGAACCUUACCUGGGCUUAAAUGUAGAGUGCAUUUUUUAGAGAUAGAAAUUCCCUUCGGGGCUUUCUGCAAGGUGCUGCAUGGUUGUCGUCAGCUCGUGCCGUGAGGUGUCGGGUUAAGUCCCAUAACGAGCGCAACCCUUAUCGUUAGUUGCCAUCUGGUAAUGCAGGGGACUCUAGCGAAACUGCCACCGUAAGGUGAGAGGAAGGUGGGGAUGACGUUAAAUCAGCACGGCCCUUAUGUCCAGGGCUACACACGUGUUACAAUGGUCGGUACAGAGGGCAGCUACCUGGUGACAGGAUGCUAAUCUCGAAAACCGGUCUCAGUUCGGAUCGAAGUCUGCAACUCGACUUCGUGAAGCUGGAUUCGCUAGUAAUCGCGCAUCAGCUAUGGCGCGGUGAAUACGUUCCCGGGCCUU